ACCAUAGUGGGUAAGGUGAGAUGCGAUCGGAUGCGAUAAGUUAUGAGAUGAGAAGAGGGAUGUUUGAUAGGCCAUAGUGCAUGAGGUUUUCAAUGAGGGUGCGCAUGUUGUUUUCCCAUUCUUUUUCGCCUAUUUCGUGCGCAUCAACGACUCGCGUGAUUUGAUCGAUGAAGUCGCUUGUAUGUUGAAGCGCUUCUUUGGAUGUGGGUAGUGAAAUGAUCGUUUCAUCUAUAAGAGGAGAAAGAUAAAAUGCACCCGCUUUUUGUUUUGCGCGGGUCGUUUUUUUUUGCUAUAACUUAGUCAGUUUUGAUCCUGUUGCAAUAGCAAAAACCGACCAGUUCAAAAAAAAUCUGGUGUAACUGUACAAGAUUGAGAUUAUUGAAUUCAUUAUUUGAGAAAAGAAUGUAUAAUGUAAUCAUAUCCGCGUGAGCGAUGUCUUUAUAUAUACACAUAUUUUUACUUUCCGAACUGGGCUAUCUGAGUGUUGAUUUCAAUUUAAAUCAAUAUGAGACGGUUUCGGUAUUGAAACAUUACUUGAUUGUGCUGACCUCGGCAAAAAGAAACAAAAAUUCGGCAAGUAUGUAUUAUUUAAGGGUAUAGGUUUUUUUAAUACAAAAUUUUCGGCGAUAUCUACGGGAAAAGAUGUCUCUAAUAAGUACACAAUAUUAAAAAGACUAAGUCUUAUUUUGACAACUGCUGUUUGUUUAUGUGUUGCUAGCGUUGUACCGUCAAACGGGAUGACUUGCAACGGCGGGGUGACUUGCAACACUUGAUGACUUGUGUAUAUGUUUAUCAACAAAACAUAAAAAUAGGACGUUUACAUUCUAAAACUCAGUUGAACUAUAAAGUGCACAUAUUAUCUGAGUAGUAGCCACGAUUUUUACUUUUAAUAAAAUAGUUCCAACAAAGUAUUCAUAAAUUUAACAUUAGUCUGAAAAAGUAACAAAAAUGUGACCCUCGAAUCGUUGCCUGCAAAAGAAUGAAAACAAAAUUUCACAAAAACAAUAUUCUGUAUGCGGAUUCUAUACAUAAUGAGCUAUAUGAAUUUUCAUUUUACUUUAUAAAAAUAUUACAAUAUCUUUGUUAUAUUCAUAUGUUUUGAAAUAUUGUACCUAGACGGGGUGACUUGCAACACUCAUUUUCUUAACAAUUCAAAGUCCAGAAAAACAAAAUAUUGUUGUUAAACUAAUAAUUCACCAGCAAAAGUCUGGAGGAUCAUCAUAUGAACUGAAAAAUACAUUAAAACUUAUGUUAAAUUAAUAUUUAGUAACUUGGUGCUUUUGAGCCCAAUAUUUCCAUAUAAAAAUUUACAAUUCAGUUUCCCAUGUAAAAACAAAUGCAAAAAUAUGAAUGUCAGCCCAAACGAUAUCACAAUAGUAGCAAGAAUACUUAUCAAAUAUGCUUGAAACUAAAAAUUUAUAUCUGCUUGGUUGAAAAGGGAUUUACAUUAGGUGUUGCAAGUCACCCCGCACGACGUCUUGUAUCAAAAACGACCUUAUUUGGCUUUUUCAACAUGAAAAAAUAAAUCAAUCUAUAACUUGUUCACUCUAUUUUAUAGAGGGGCCGGCUAUUAAAACUAUUGCAAAUACAUUGAAUUUUAAAAUUGAGUUUAAUCAACAUUUUUUGUUAAUUGAAGCUGAAAAGUGUUGCAAGUCACCCCGUUUGACGGUAAACAAAAGAUAACCUUCAUUAAAAGUUAAAGUUUUUCCUCAAGUGGAGCAACACGAGUGUUUACGGAUGAGAAGCGAAAAUCGAUUGUGACCAGGUACUGCUAUGAAAAAUGAUUAUCGCUAAGAAAAUUAGCAAAAGGUGUUAGCGUUUUUUCUGUCCAAAAUGCUGUCAAACGAUUCGGCAUGCAUAACACACUGAUAAAAUCACCCGGACGCGACAGAAAACCAGGUGCGUCCAAGUCAAAUUUGGACAGCAAAAUUUGCAAAAUCUUCAAAAGAAAAAAGGAGGUAUUCAUCAUAGAUUGCGCAAAAAAGUGUGGAACGACUAUUGGUAUGGUUCAGCGCGCCAAAGAGCGUAAUUCCCUGAAGACUUACCCAAAACAGAAAUGUCCAAAAAACAGUCAAAUUCUGGCGGAUUAUGUGAAAACUCGGGCUCGGAAACUGUACGACGA